UUGGGAAAGCGAGCGGCGGAUGGGUGAGUAACACGUGGGGAACCUGCCCCUAAGUCUGGGAUACCAUUUGGAAACAGGUGCUAAUACCGGAUAAUAAAGCAGAUCGCAUGAUCAGCUUUUGAAAGGCGGCGUAAGCUGUCGCUAAGGGAUGGCCCCGCGGUGCAUUAGCUAGUUGGUAAGGUAACGGCUUACCAAGGCGACGAUGCAUAGCCGAGUUGAGAGACUGAUCGGCCACAUUGGGACUGAGACACGGCCCAAACUCCUACGGGAGGCAGCAGUAGGGAAUCUUCCACAAUGGACGCAAGUCUGAUGGAGCAACGCCGCGUGAGUGAAGAAGGUUUUCGGAUCGUAAAGCUCUGUUGUUGGUGAAGAAGGAUAGAGGUAGUAACUGGCCUUUAUUUGACGGUAAUCAACCAGAAAGUCACGGCUAACUACGUGCCAGCAGCCGCGGUAAUACGUAGGUGGCAAGCGUUGUCCGGAUUUAUUGGGCGUAAAGCGAGCGCAGGCGGAAAAAUAAGUCUAAUGUGAAAGCCCUCGGCUUAACCGAGGAACUGCAUCGGAAACUGUUUUUCUUGAGUGCAGAAGAGGAGAGUGGAACUCCAUGUGUAGCGGUGGAAUGCGUAGAUAUAUGGAAGAACACCAGUGGCGAAGGCGGCUCUCUGGUCUGCAACUGACGCUGAGGCUCGAAAGCAUGGGUAGCGAACAGGAUUAGAUACCCUGGUAGUCCAUGCCGUAAACGAUGAGUGCUAAGUGUUGGGAGGUUUCCGCCUCUCAGUGCUGCAGCUAACGCAUUAAGCACUCCGCCUGGGGAGUACGACCGCCAGGUUGAAACUCAAAGGAAUUGACGGGGGCCCCGCACAAACCGGUGGAGCAUGUGGUU
rnacentral:rRNA from 1 species